UUAAACCUUCCUAACAUGACAUGACCAUGGUAAUUUCACAUGCAACCAUUACAAUAAGUUUUUCUUUCAUCUUUACCAUAUUAAUGCUAUAGCUAUCAACAUGUCAUCAAACCUCAUGUCCAUCACAAAGCAUGAAUAAUCAUAUCCACAAACCAUUCAUGAAGCAUUAUUAACUAUUUACCAAUCACUUAAUCCUGCAUUAGUUAUUAGCUCAUCAAUGAAUCUCAAUUCAAUCUCUAGGCAUACAUGUUGUAAGCCACAUCACAAGAGAUAAUAACAUACAUGCAUAAGAAUAAUCAUAUGGCCCAUAACGAUAUUAGCCGACAUAGGCCAAUUUACAUGACUAAUACUACCUUAAUAACAAGCCAAUGCCUUUGGCUAAAUCAUAAUAUUACAUACUCACAUUAAAACCCUAUACAUGCCAUAGACUAGAAUCACUUGAGUUUACUUACGCCGAUAGCGUUAACUCGACAGUGUGAUAAUAUCUCUAACGGCCUUCAACCCGAGCUAACCUGGAAACUCUAGAAAACAUGGGAAAGAAGGGGGGUAAGCUUUCGCUUAGUAAGUUCAUAUGAAAACAAUAAGCAACUCAUUAACUUGUUUUAUCAAUGUUUACAACAUAUUCUCAAGUUCACUGCAAGCUGUCUUCCUGAGCAAUAGUCACUAAAUUAUUUAUAUCUGGAGCUACGAAACUCCAAAUUAAGUUCCGUUAAUUUUUCCUGAAACUAGACUCAUUUAUCUUUCUUUCAUAAAAUUUCCAGAAUUUUUGACUUAGCCAAUUAGUACAGUUUACUCCUCAAGUUUGCUCCUGAUUCACUGUCUCACAGUUUCAACCCUUCUGCACUAAAGUUCAAUUAUCUCAUAGUACAGGAUUCGAAUAAUGUUCUCGUCUAUUUAUCUUGAAAUUAUACUCAUAUGUAUACUUACUAAUUUUUUUCUAGAAUUUUUGGUCAAGCCAUUUAGUACAGUUUAUUAGUUAAAGUCUCCCCUGUUUCAGGGUAUGACCACUCUGACCCUUGUGUACUACGAACCGAAUUUCUCCCUGUACAAAAUUCCAACGACGAUGCCAUUUUUUCCCUUAAAAAUAGACUCAAUAAGGAAUCCAUGCAAGUAAGGUAUGACUCUUAAUAAUUUUUUUACAAUUUAUGAUGAAUUUCUAAAGUUAGAAUAGGGGAUCUCGAAUUCAUUCAGAUCCUGUUUUACAAGAAUUCAAAUAUCACACAAUAUAGAAUUCUUUUUCUUCCUCUGUUUCUUUCAUGUGAAAAUAGACUCAUUAAGCUUUAAUCUCAUUUUUUAUUCUGCCUCUAACUAAUUUUCCACUAUUUUUAGUGUAUUUUCAAAGUUACAUUACUAUAGUAACUCAAAUUUGUCAAUGCUAAGUUACUCAUUCAUGAUCAUUGUUCACAAAAUUAAUACAACAUCAUUUCAUCCAUCAUGGUAAGAACACAUAUUAUGCAUCAUAGAUCAUCACAUAUCAAGGCAUUCUCAUAGGCUUAAUAUACAUACUUGCACAACUCGUAACAUAACUCAAGUGUAUACUCACCAAUGACUUACCUCGUUGGGACCAUCAUCAACUCUUUCCUUGGAUUACCCGUUGAACACUUGGAAUACUAAUUGGAUACUCGGAAAAGCCUUUGCACAUAAGUGCCUCAAUUGUAGCUAAAGCUACCUCAUAUCUCAUGACAUUUCAAUGCUCACUCUCGAGCUAGUCAUCUAGACUUAUAAUUUCUAGUGACAUGUCACUCGUAUCCUAUUCUAUUUCUAAGGUUCAAACGGGAUUUUUCCUCAUCUAUUAAGGCUUUGUCUUAUCAUAUUUCUAUUAAUCACAUACACUUAAUAUUUGUACAAUUCAUGUAAUGAUAACAUUUAAAUACAUGUAUAGCAUGGUAUUGUUUACAUACAAACUUACCUCGAUACCACAAAGGUGAAAAGGACAUAAUCAUCCCUUAAUCGAUUUCUUUCCGUUCUAGGUUCAAAUCUCGAUUUUCUUGAUCUAUAAUAUCACAUUUAGCCUACCAAUCAGUCACAAUAUUCAUAUGGGUCUAAAAAUCAUAUUUUUACAAAUUUUCAUUUUGACCCCUAAACUUUUGCAUAUUUGCACUUUUGCCUCAAUGCUCGUAAAAUAAUUUUUAUCACAUUUCUUUACUCCUUGAGUCUAGAUGAACCAUUUUCAUAACUAUAUCAACUCAUAAUUUCAACUAUUUUACACAUUACAACUUAUUUUACAACUUAGCAAUCUAGCCCUUUUUUAAGGUGUUUUCAUGUAAUUUCUUUCACAAAAGUUGUUUAUUAGACAACUAGGACUCAUAAUCUUCCAUAAAAACACAGAAAACAACACAUUUACUCUCAUGGCAAAACCCUAGACUCUUCAUCAUUUUUCAAAAUAGUCCCCUCUUAUGAAAGCUCAUGCUUUAGGGGUUCCAAAAAUGUAAAAAUCAUCAAGCAAAGACAUUAAAAUCACUUACAAGCAAGGGAAAUAUGUUGCUGAAAUUUUCCAGCUUCAAAACCCUUUCUUUGCUGCAUAUUUCGGUGAAGGAGAAGAGAAAAAUGAUAGCUUUUUCUUUUUUAUUUGUUAACAAUAAAACUAGUCAAAAUUGGUGACCAAAUUUCACCUAAAUUUGACUUUUCAACAAUUUUGUCUCCCAUGGCCGGCCAUCACACUUUCAAUGGCCUAAUUUCACUUUAAAAACCCC
rnacentral:lncRNA from 1 species